rnacentral:rRNA from 1 species
GAUGAACGCUGGCGGCGUGCUUAACACAUGCAAGUCGAACGAUUGAAGCUGGAGCUUGCUCCGGCCGAUUUAGUGGCGGACGGGUGAGUAACGCGUGGGUAACCUGCCUCAUACAGGGGGAUAGCAGUUGGAAACGACUGGUAAAACCGCAUAAGCGCACAGUAUCGCAUGAUACAGUGUGAAAACACUCCGGUGGUAUGAGAUGGACCCGCGUCUGAUUAGCUAGUUGGUGAGGUAACGGCCCACCAAGGCGACGAUCAGUAGCCGGCCUGAGAGGGUGAACGGCCACAUUGGGACUGAGACACGGCCCAAACUCCUACGGGAGGCAGCAGUGGGGAAUAUUGCACAAUGGGGGAAACCCUGAUGCAGCGACGCCGCGUGAGUGAAGAAGUAUUUCGGUAUGUAAAGCUCUAUCAGCAGGGAAGAUAAUGACGGUACCUGACUAAGAAGCACCGGCUAAAUAC